UCAAUAUUUUUUUAAAUGUUUAUUUUUUUAGAACACAGGCUACUAUUAUGUAGCAAACUAUUAAAAAUUAAACUAUGAAACAAUUAUAAUGUUUUUUCACAUUUCCUUCAAAUGAUUAAUCAGCACACUCCAUUGUCGUUGCCCUCACACUUACAGCGAGAGCCCUACCACUCGCACUUUCACUCGCACCAGCCCAUAAUUUUUUCCGACGAGACCUCCUUAUAUAGUUGCUUUAUGCUUACGGCUAGCCCUUCGAGAACCUUCUUCGCUCUCAUCUGGCGACACAGCUUUUGGACGGGGUAAAUAAGUUAGACUAAGUGCAUGCUGCACAGAGCAAAAAUUUGAUUUAAAGUUAAAAGACAUAAUUAAUGUGCGCAUAGAGAAUAUAUAAAAAACGUUGUGAAAAUUCUGCAAAUAUAAAAGGGAACAUAAAUCCCAGAAAAACAAUCUAAAAAGUUUGGUGGCUGCAGCGAUACAAAAAAAAAAAAAACCCUGGAUAAGGUACGCAAAGAAAUAAUGGAAAAAGUAACCUUAUUACAUAAUCUCAUGUAUAUACAUAUAAAUAGGUUAUGAACCACGUGGGGCAGUAUAACUGCGUAUUCCUGCGUCCGCGUCCGCCUUCAUUAAACGUCGCACGCACCUGAGCUUAAACGCAUCCGUCCCCUUGCAGUUCAGCUCAAACUCUUCCAUCCAUGCGGUUCCAUAAUCUGCAUAACCUCCUUGAAGUUGGCUAAUUCGUCCACGCUCGCCUUACGCAGUUCUUCCAUGGCUGGCUUCCUCUGGAGCAAACUUAUCUCUGCUUCUGUCAUAAGGCGGUCGGCUUCCAGCCUCCUAGUUUGUGCGUCUGGCGAAUUUUUACUUUUAAUCUGUCUGUUCAUGUUCUGCAGAAACUGCGACGACACGCCAGAAACAGAAAAACGUUCUGUAUGUAUUUUCUUAUACUGCGACGAACAGACGCCAAAACGUACAUAUAGUAACAUAUCCAUAAUGCCCUACACCCACAUAAGCAUAAAGUAUACGUUAAGCACUUGACAUAUUCAUAACCACACCCACACCUAUACACGUUAUGCAUAUGCCCAGCACUCACCCUUACACCUAUGUACUCGCAUCUAUAUGAAAUAAGAUAAACAUAUAAGAAUAUAGCCCAACACCUGAAUAAACAACGCAUGAUUCGUCCAUACCGAAAUGGGAACAGGAGCAGGAAGUCCCAUGCAACCCAAAACUCCGUAAUGCAAUAGAACGUCGCUGAACAAUACGCUAUCAGCUCGUUCCCACACUCCACACUAUGACUAAUUCAGAAUCAGUCACACACUCCAACAGAAGGGAGAACUCUUGUAAACAAGUGAGUACUCAAGAUGAAAGCUGGCACCAAUCACCAGCUUCGGCUGCCUGUUUCAUCCAAGCCGACGCAUUUCCCAAGCCUCCCACACAUAGUCCAACGCAUCGCCUUUCACCAAAGCAACGCCUCUCGCAACUGAAGCUUCGUCGCUUGCUACAGCUCAUCACUCAAUUCCGAAGACGAAAUAUCAGCGGAAGCCGAAAGCUUAAGAAGAUAAGCUUUAAGCUUUCCCAAAAGAGGUCUCGAGAUCAAUAACUUUAGAAAAAGAACACAGUUCCGUUUCGGACUUUUUACAUUGAGUUGGGGAAUUCAUAAUCAUAUCCUAUGUUCUAUUAUAUAGGUUCGGUUAAAUAAAAUAAAUAAAUUAAAACCCUACUUUUGAACUCGGGAAUUCUUAUUGGCGCAGCCGGUAGGAUUCACAAACACUAACGUUAUUGUUCCGGUACUAAUCUAUUAGAAGCAAUCUAAACGACUAGAUUGCUGGAGAUUAGCGAAGCUAGUUAGACCAAGUGAAUCCGCCAAAGAACCUAGGUGCAAGGUAGCACUAGGCACAAACACAAACACUAGGCCAAACAAAAUAAUAAUUGUGUAACUAAAAUCGCAACGGUAAUAUAAAUCACCAACAGCAACGAAUUAAAUAAACCAACAACUAAAUAAUCCAUUGAGUGAAACACACGUGAAGUGAACUAAAAUGAAUUAAAAAUCAAAAUGGCAAUAUCACCUGUAACCCGUAGUGAAAUUCACCAAAACCAAGCACUACUGUCAAUUCGACAAGUGCCAAACUAUGGACGGAUCAGCUGGAAAGCCGAGCUCCUUCACAAAAACGCGUUGAGUACAUACAAGAACUGUACCCGACGCAAUAAACCAGACAGUCACGAAUACUGUUUGGAGCCAUUGAGGUGCAGCUGACCGAAGAAGCACAACGACUCUCACAAAUGGUGCAACCCAACACCUGGCUGGAGCUGAAAAAUGCUCUAAUAGACGAAUUCAAGAACCACACACCAUACGAAGAACUUCUGCGACAAAUCUACUUCACAAAAUUCAAUGGGACUCUUCGUAAGUUUAUCGAAGAUCUAGAAACUAAAGCCCUUGUAGUUACUAAAAAGCUAGCAUUAGUAAACAAAGUAGCCAGCACCCUGAUCUAUCAAAACGCAUUAAAUAAUAAAAUUUGUGAAGGUUGCAGACCAAAAAUAAAAUUUAGAAUGCAUGUACUAAAAUUGUAUUAAGACAAUUUUUUUUUGGGAACAGUCUUUCUUAUUUUAUCGCAACAAUAUUGACCCUUCCCCACUGUACGUACGUUUCAGAGAACUGCAUGCAAGAUCAGAAGCUUUUAUCUCGAAAAGCUCUAUAUCUCUUUCUCUUGCACGUGCACGCGCUUUUCUCUCUGCAAGCAUAGCUUACGGCACUAACCAAAUAGUAUACUAUUUGGUUAGUGCUUACGGCCAUAAAGCAACUAUAUAAGGAGGCCUUGUCGGUGGCAGAGUUACUCGCUGCGUUACCCAAUUCUCAGUGCACGUUUGCUCGUCGACGCGGAAGGUUGGUUGCGGACAACAUUUUUUUUUUUCAAUAUUUUUUUAAAUGUUUAUUUUUUCAGAACACAGGCUACUAUUAUGUAGCAAACUAUUAAAAAUUAAACUAUGAAACAAUUAUAAUGUUUUUUCACAUUGCCUUCAAAUGAUUAAUCAGCACACUCCAUUGUCGUUGCCCUCACACUUACAGCGAGAGCCCUUCCACUCGCACUUUCACUCGCACCAACCCAUAAUUUUUUCCGACGAGACCUCCUUAUAUAGUUGCUUUAUGCUUACGGCUACAGCUUUUGGAGGGGGUAAAUUAGUUAGACUAAGUGCAUGCUGCACAGAGCAAAAAUUUGAUUUAAAGUUGAAAGACAUAAUUAAUGUGCGCAUAGAGAAUAUAUAAAAAACGUUGUGAAAAUUCUGCAAAUAUAAAAGGGAACAUAGAUCCCAGAAAAACAAUCUGAAAAGUUUGGUGGCUGCAGCGAAACAAAAAAAUAACAAACCCUGGAUAAGGUACGCAAAGAAUUAAUGGAAAAAGUAACCUUAUUACAUAAUCUCAUGUAUAUACAUAUAAAUAGGUUAUGAACCACGUGGGGCAGUAUAACUGCUGACCUGGCCGAUCUGGGCCUGACCAUCGCUCUCGGACGUGGUCCACUCCAACAUCACGAUCAUCAGUCCCAUCAUUUUUUUGCUACAGCGAUCUCCUCAGUCUCUCCUAUCGAAAUCAUUAUAUAUAUAUAUUUUUCAAAGACAAAACUGUAAAUAACUAUACAAAAAAAAAAUUUUUUUAAUUCAAAGCGUUAAANCUAAGUGCAUGCUGCACAGAGCAAAAAUUUGAUUUAAAGUUGAAAGACAUAAUUAAUGUGCGCAUAGAGAAUAUAUAAAAAACGUUGUGAAAAUUCUGCAAAUAUAAAAGGGAACAUAGAUCCCAGAAAAACAAUCUGAAAAGUUUGGUGGCUGCAGCGAAACAAAAAAAUAACAAACCCUGGAUAAGGUACGCAAAGAAUUAAUGGAAAAAGUAACCUUAUUACAUAAUCUCAUGUAUAUACAUAUAAAUAGGUUAUGAACCACGUGGGGCAGUAUAACUGCUGACCUGGCCGAUCUGGGCCUGACCAUCGCUCUCGGACGUGGUCCACUCCAACACCACGAUCAUCAGUCCCUCUUUUUUGUGCCAGCGGACCUUGCCUGCCGGCAGAUACACAGAUGGACUUGGUUAGCGGGACCUAGGCAUACAUAUAUACAUCGACAUACCUACGCGCAGUUCAACAACAACAAUAUAAAACAAGAUAAAACAAGCCUUGCUUCUAGGGAAAAUGUUGGUGCUUGCAUAAUUUGUUGAAAAAAAAUUCGUUCAGCGAUCAGUGCCCAUGCGGUUGACCAUACACCUAAGCGCACCUAAAUAGACCCACUUGGCCGUAUGUCACCCAUUCGUACCUACUCUCAGUUUUAUUAACAUAGUUGAUACCCGAUAUAAUAUGUAAAUUCUAAGGCAACUUAAGGAGAGGGAAAAAUCACAAAAAGUUAGAAAAAGAAAAUUUAAUUAAAAAUCAUGAAUAGGAAAAAAAAAAUUUUUAAUUUGUAUCAUUUUAAAUAUACUUAGACAUGAACCUUAGAAAAUAAGAAGAAGAAAAAAAGUGUAAUAUAUGCAUAGUUAAUAAUAGAUUCUAAGAGGUAUCAUCGGUCUCAUUGUGUCCAUGGAAGGGUAUUAGUAAAAUACCGCUCCAUAACGCUUCUUGUUUUCUCUGGCAACAUUCUACAUCUCUUUAACAGUUUCAUGCCAAUUUCAUGCGUGAAAUUGGGCCCAACGACACCUGCAGCUAAUUAAACGUCUGUAAGUAGACACACAUAUAUACAAAUACAUUCCGGUUCAGGAGAAUAGCAUCUAACGCAGUGAGACGAGCAUGUUUAACCAUAUUUAAAAUAAUAAACUACAAUCACUACAAUUAUGCCAUUUAAUUCAUUUAGAUAAUUCAUUACUACAUUUUAUUUUGAUUAUAUUAUUUUUAUUUAUACUUUGAUCAUUAUCUUGAAUUCAUAUGUCUUAAAUUAGUCCACCUAUAUAUACAUGCAGUAAGAAUAAGUUGAAGGGUUAGGGUUGAAAUAAUGGGGGUUAUAAAUAAAAAAUGAUGUCAUACAAGUUAAAGUAAAAACUAUAACGCUACGAGAAGGGACGUGUGAGACGCUUUUUACGCGUCACAACUUUUAUAACCGGCACUCAGGACUACAUCUAGAUGUAGAAGACAUCGCCAACCACUAGAUAUCGUUCACAUUACAGAACACGUAGUAAAAGCCUACUAAAUAAAAUGCAUCAAAC
rnacentral:lncRNA from 1 species